rnacentral:misc_RNA from 1 species
GUAGGUGAACCUGCGGAAGGAUCAUUAACACGUAUCCACGUAUCAACUCCGUGCAUUUUAUGUGACAAACUCGUCGGCGAGCUUGUAGGACUUGGGAGAUCGCAGAAGUUGUGUGAGGCUGGAUGAUGGGUCUCCUCUGCUGAUCGCCUGACCAAGUUCCGAAGCGUUUGAGCCGUCAUCAUUAACUUUAACUAAAACCCCAUAUACCUUUACCUGUCUGAACUAUUUGUUCUUGAUCCCUCUUGUUAGG